GGUAGCGUGGCCGAGCGGUCUAAGGCGCUGGUUUAAGGCAUUUCCGAGGCGUGGGUUCGAAUCCCACCGCUGCCA
rnacentral:tRNA from 1 species